rnacentral:rRNA from 1 species
GUCUAUGGCAAUACUACCCUGAACAAACCCAAUCUUGUUUGAUCUUGGAAGCUAAGCUGGGUUGGGCCUGGUUAAUACUUGGAUGGGAGACAGCUAUCUUCUCCUUAUGUCCUUACAUGGUGGAAGGGCCAAAGAUC